CCUACGGGUGGCAGCAGGAGGGAAUAUUGCACAAUGGGGGAAACCCGGAAGCAGCAACGCCGCGUGGAGGAUGAAGGUUUUCGGAUGGUAAACUCCUUUUGGUAGAGAAGAAAAUGACGGUAUCUAACGAAUAAGCACCGGCCAACUCCGUGCCAGCAGCCGCGGUAAUACGGAGGGCGCAAGCGUUACUCGGAAGCACUGGGCGUAAAGAGAGCGUAGGCGGGAGAGCAAGUCAGAUGUGAAAUCCUAUGGCUUAACCCUAGAACUGCAUUUGAUACUGUUAUUCUAGAGUAUGGGAGAGGUAGGUGGAAUUCUUGGUGUAGGGGUGAAAUCCGUAGAGAUCAAGAGGAAUACUCAUUGCGAAGGCGACCUGCUGGAACAUAACUGACGCUGAUGCGCGAAAGCGUGGGGAGCAAACAGGAUUAGAUACCCGAGUAGUC
rnacentral:rRNA from 1 species